CCUACGGGGGGCAGCAGUGGGGGAUAUUGCACAAUGGGGGAAACCCUGAUGCAGCAACGCCGCGUGUGGGAAGAAGGUUUUCGGAUUGUAAACCACUGUUCUUGGUGAAGAUAAUGACGGUAACCAAGGAGAAAUCUCCGGCUAACUACGUGCUAGCAGCCGCGGUAAUAAGUAGGGAGCAGGCGUUGUCCGGAUUUACUGGGUGUAAAGGGUGAGUAGGCGGUCUUGCAAGUCAGACGUGAAAACCACGGGCUCAACCUGUGGACUGCGUUUGAAACUGUGGGGCUUGAGUGAAGUAGAGGUAGGCGGAAUUCCCGGUGUAGCGGUGAAAUGCGUAGAGAGCGGGAGGAACACCAGUGGCGAAGGCGGCCUACUGGGCUUUAACUGACGCUGAGGCACGAAGGCCAGGGGAGCGAAAGGGAUUAGAUACCCGGGUAGUC
rnacentral:rRNA from 1 species